AGUGUGCGCAGGAUUCGCGACGUUUACUUUGAAAAAAUUAGAGUGUUCAAAGCAGGCUCGUGCUUGGAUACAUAAGCAUGGAAUAAUGGAAUAGGACUUUGGUUCUAUUUUGUUGGUUUCUNGAACCGAAGUAAUGAUGAAUAGGGACAGUUGGGGGCAUUCGUAUUUCGUUGUCAGAGGUGAAAUUCUUGGAUUUACGAAAGACGAACUAAUGCGAAAGCAUUUGCCAAGAAUGUUUUCAUUAAUCAAGAACGAAAGUUAGAGGAUCGAAGACGAUCAGAUACCGUCCUAGUUCUAACCAUAAACGAUGCCGACUAGGGAUCGGCGGGUGUUAUUGUAUGACCCCGUCGGCACCUUAUGGGAAACCAAAGUUUUUGGGUUCCGGGGGAAGUAUGGUUGCAAAGCUGAAACUUAAAGGAAUUGACGGAAGGGCACCACCAGGAGUGGAGCCUGCGGCUUAAUUUNACUCAACACGGGAAAACUCACCAGGUCCGGACAUAGUAAGGAUUGACAGAUU
rnacentral:rRNA from 1 species